rnacentral:rRNA from 4 species
GGGGGACAAAGUGACAGGUGGUGCAUGGUUGUCGUCAGCUCGUGUCGUGAGAUGUUGGGUUAAGUCCCGCAACGAGCGCAACCCUUAAGCUUAGUUGCCAUCAUUAAGUUGGGCACUCUAAGUUGACUGCCGGUGACAAACCGGAGGAAGGUGGGGAUGACGUCAAAUCAUCAUGCCCCUUAUGAUUUGGGCUACACACGUGCUACAAUGGACAAUACAAAGGGCAGCGAAACCGCGAGGUCAAGCAAAUCCCAUAAAGUUGUUCUCAGUUCGGAUUGUAGUCUGCAACUCGACUACAUGAAGCUGGAAUCGCUAGUAAUCGUAGAUCAGCAUGCUACGGUGAAUACGUUCCCGGGUCUUGUACACACCGCCCGUCACACCACGAGAGUUUGUAACACCCGAAGCCGGUGGAGUAACCUUUUAGGAGCUAGCCGUCGAAGGUGGGACAAAUGAUUGGGGUGAAGUCGUAACAAGGUAGCCGUAUCGGAAGGUGCGGCUGGAUCACCUCCUUUCUAAGGA